UUUUGACUUGAAGGAUGAGAGAUCCAAAUUGUCCUGCAACACAUAUCAGCAGAAUUCGGUAGAGAGUGGCACACAGUGAUGAAUUCCUCACUGCAGGUCUCACUGCAGUCCUGGACAGAGGGCUACCAAAGGGACCGAAAACAGGACAAAAGCAACAGAGACCCCCAUUCCUUGGAGUAUCUCAUUCCUUUGAGAGUUUUCAGCUGAGGAAUUUUCUCAAUGAAGGGGGAAGGAAAAUGAGAGACACAGCAAGACUGCAAAUUUUCAGCAUCUUGUGGAAUGCAGAGUGCCAAGUCUGAGAGAUCAUGUAAGGAAAGCUUCUUUCUUAGGAGCAAGGACAGGACUGCAU
rnacentral:lncRNA from 1 species